rnacentral:rRNA from 1 species
AUGCGUGAGGAGUCAGAGUGUCACUUUGAAAUGAUCAUGAACAGACCAAGUGUUGAGGAAAUGAACAAGCCUUCAUAUAUUGGGGGAUGUCUUCCUGUUUGGGGAAUCAUUUAUCUAGAUUUUGUUGAUUUUGAUGUUAUUCACAAUCAUCAGUCAACUGUGGAUUAUUCUCUUCCACGGAUAUCUCACGUUAAGACCGAAGAUUUCAAGUACCUCGCAAUGGUUGAUAGGAAUUAUGAGUCUAGGAAAAAUUUCGGGGUCUUACCACUGCGAGACAUAUCACGCACCCCAUAUGCCAUGCCUGUUAACAAUGUUCCUGAUGCUCCUGGUGUGUUUAAUUCAGUUCCUUAUGUGGAGGUCAACAAUGCCAAUAGUGUCCAUGAACCUCUCAGUGAGAACACGUCCAUUGAUUCAAAAAGUCCCCAAAUCAUUUCAGAAGGUCCCAGUUGCAGUGCAAAAGUUGAACCAGACGUAAAAGUGAAACCAGAGCCACAUUUGAAAUCAGAGGUCCCCUCCAAUGAUGUCGUUAAGCAGGAGCCAAUCGGACCGAAAUUUGAGAACAUUUCUAUCCUGAAUUCGGUGUACCAAACACCAAUUUUUCAUGUUCAUGCUACACCUCUGAAUACCAACUCUCUUGAACACACAACUACUUCACAACCUAAGGAAGAAAUUUUUCUAUCAACUGAAGAAGCUGAUAUCAAUUUUUCCAGUGGAGUUAAUCGAAAAAGAAGUUUUAUAUUGAUUAGUUCCACUUCUUCAAAUGAAAGAGUAAAGCGCUUCCAAGGUACUCCAAUCAUUAUUGAGGAUGAUUCUCCCAUCACUCCUGUUGUUCCAAUCAAUGAGGACAUAGCAGCCUCUGACUGUGAUACAAGUGGAGCAAUUCCAUUGAACAUGGACUUUGCUGUCUAA